rnacentral:lncRNA from 1 species
AAAUAAAGGCAACAGUAGUAUACCGCUGUUCAAAACUCAUAAAUCCAUGGACAAAAAAAACAAAAUCGGGGUAACAAAAUAAAACUGAGGGAAACGCAUUAAAUAUAAGAGGAGAACAACGACACAACAUUAAAAUGUAACACACACAGAAACGGACUUAGCAUUAGACAAAAUCCUAUGAGAAUAACAAAUAUAACAUCAAACUCAAAUACAUGAAUUUGGGAUAGAUAAGUACCGUGACACGUCUUAUAGUAAUGUGAAUUCACACUCAAUAAUAAGAGAAAACAAACGACACA